UUUUAUAUUGUGAAAACAAACAUCUAGAAAAGUAAAUUAACACACGUGAUUAUCACGCGGCAAAAUACAUGCCAGAAGUGAAACCCCAGCGACUGCAGUGACUAUUUUACCCUCAGCACACCAAUGCAUUAGACAAAAAGACUAGGGCAAAAAAAGUAAAGAAAGAAGCUAAACUUCCUCAGUCACAUCAAUAUAAACCUGACAAGACACCUGAAUGUUCG
rnacentral:lncRNA from 1 species